AGAAAGAUAAGCUAAUUAAGCUGCUAGGUUCAUACCCUAUUUAUAGAAGUUUAUAACCUUCUUUUUUCUA
rnacentral:tRNA from 1 species